rnacentral:rRNA from 1 species
GGGCUGGACAAGGUCCCAAGGGUCGGGCUGUUCGCCCGUUAAAGCGGUACGCGAGCUGGGUUCAGACCGUCGUGAGACAGGUCGGUCUCUAUCCGCUGUGGGCGUAAGGGAUUUGAGAGGAGCUGCCCCUAGUACGAGAGGACCGGGGUGGACAGACCUCUGGUGUGCCAGUUGUCGUGCCAACGGCAUCGCUGGGUAGCUAUGUCUGGCAGAGAUAACCGCUGAAAGCAUCUAAGUGGGAAACUCGCCUCAAGAUGAGAUCCCUCAUCCCGCUAAGGGAGUAAGGCCGCAGGAAGACUACCUGCUUGAUAGGCGGCAUGUGUAAGCGCAGUAAUGCGUUCAGCUAAGCCGUACUAAUGGCCGAGGGCUUUCUCUG